rnacentral:lncRNA from 1 species
GCAGGGCCCAGGAGCAGGACCAGGACAGGAACCAAGGAGCAGGCUUGAGCCCCCUAAACCCCAGCCUGGGAGUGCUGGCUGCAGCCAGUGCGUGCUGGGUCCUUGGUACCCCAGGGAGAGGUCAUUAGUCUCCUCAGAGCCCCUAGUUUGCUCUCUUGGCUGGGACAGUGGGUGGGGCACUGGGAAAGGAGCUGGGUCAUAAGCUGAACGAGGUUGUCUUAUUCUGCGAGGUGAGGGAAUGACCACUGCUAAGCAGGCUCCCACAAACAGAAUGCUUUCCACAUCCAUCCUUGUCACUGCCGCUGAGCCCACCACUAGAAGACAUCCCUCCCAGUUGGACAGUCUUUGCCUCUAACCGUCACCAACACUCAUGGGGGGUGACUGCUUCCUUGAAGAUCUGUGUCAUCAACCAGAGCGACAGGAACCCUCCACCACGUGGCAAAGAUCAAACACGAUGCAUUAAAAGCCAGGACCAAGAAGGGGCCCACAAAGCCCUGCCCUGAACACCUCCUGCUCUUGCUGGUCUUGCAAGUCUACAGCCAGGUGUGGGUGGAGAAGCCAGUGGCCAAUCUAAAGAUGCUGCCACAUGGAUCGUGCAGGACCAGAGAGAGUCCUUGUUGCUCCUGGCGAGAUACAAAGGCUGGUCUUUCACCAGGGCAGCUUGUGCUAGCCUUUCAGCCUGACUCUUGGCCUAAGGGUGCUAAGGCGAGUCCUUGGGUGAGAUUCCUGCUAACAAGACCCCUUCUGUCAGUUGAGGAAAGCAGGCUCCUGCCAGAGAAGAUGACAUGGAACAAGCUGCAUGACAUCUGCCCCAGAGGAAGCCAAGACCAAAAUGAAGGAACAAGGGAAAAAGAGUGAGAAAGCUGGGAACAGAGUAAAGCUGGGCUUGGGGGAACUGAGCUACCUGUAAGACAGAUCUCUGUUAGGGGAAGAGAGACUAAACUACAGCUGAACAGAACAAGGGGCUAGUAAACUUGGAUUUGACUUAGGCUUGAUUAACCCCAAGGAAGUCCAGUUGGCAGGUGGGAUGUUGGGUUAGGGUUACAGUUAGGGUUGGCCUAUUAUUUUGUUUGACUUCCUGCUCCUCUAGCUGGUAGCACUAGCCACAUGCAGCCACUCAUCAGAACAAGCUGGAGCCAAAAGCAAGAGGGAGAAUAUUUAAAUCCAGCCAACAGCUGAUUGGAUGGUCCCAUGAGCAGCAUGGACUGUAUGGAAAAACGGGUCCGAUCAGGGGCUGCCUCAAGCUCCAUAGCAGACCAUCAGAACUACUUCAGUGGAGUCAUUCCUGGUAUCAAAACCCAAGUGACUACCUGUUGGACCAGCAGCCUCAUAUCCUAGCUGAUGGCCAUCCCAGGGGUCACCAAUAUGAGCUUCUGCCCUGAAGUGCCUCUUCCACUGCAAGAAUAUCACACUGGACUGACUACCUUUUGUACAUUAAGUUUAUUACCUAAUAAAUGCUCCUA